CCUACGGGAGGCAGCAGUGGGGAAUAUUGCACAAUGGGGGAAACCCUGAUGCAGCGACGCCGCGUGAGUGAAGCAGUAUUUCGGUACGUAAAGCUCUAUCAGCAGGGAAGAAAAUGACGGUACCUGACUAAGAAGCCCCGGCUAACUACGUGCCAGCAGCCGCGGUAAUACGUAGGGGGCAAGCGUUAUCCGGAUUUACUGGGUGUAAAGGGAGCGUAGACGGCAGCGCAAGUCUGGAGUGAAAGCCCAUGGCUUAACCAUGGAACUGCUUUGGAAACUGUGCAGCUAGAGUGCAGGAGAGGUAAGCGGAAUUCCUAGUGUAGCGGUGAAAUGCGUAGAUAUUAGGAGGAACACCAGUGGCGAAGGCGGCUUACUGGACUGUAACUGACGUUGAGGCUCGAAAGCGUGGGGAGCAAACAGGAUUAGAUACCCCAGUAGUC
rnacentral:rRNA from 1 species